AUGACAUACAUGUUAACUCCACUAUUGUAGAGGCCUUUACAAUUAUUUUCCCCAAAUUCUAGGGUUGUCGAGGGGGAAUUCAAUUUUCGGAGAUUUGGUGAAGGUAAGCAUACUCAGUUUAUGCUUCUUUCAUCUUUCAUCCUCAUCUUAAGAGAGAGUUUUCGAUUUGGGGAGGAUCAUGUGUUGUAUUACUCUCACCUCAAAACCCUAGCCACCGCCAAACACAUCGGAUUUUAUCCCGCGGCCAUUGCGAGACCAGCUGGCUUCAAUAUUGAAGCCGAUUGAUCAGUUGGGCUUCUUCUAUCGUUAUCCCUCUCAGAUUCAGCUCCAAAUCAGAAGUUCACCGGCAAUAGAGUCGUACUAUAAGGUAUAAGAGGAAAAAUAUGUUUGGAUACACUUGUAUCCUAAACAUGAUCCGAAUAAGAUAAUACCGGAUCAUUAAAGAUCCGCAUGUUUUUGUUCAGUUAGUUUACCUCUUUGCUCUUGAUUUGAUUUUUUUUUUUUGUUUUUGUUUUCUGUUUUCGUAGGGGUAUGUAAUGGAAUUUCUGUAAAGUUUUUUUUUUUCUGCUUUUGUACUCGAUAUAUAAUUGAUUUUGAUAUUUUUUUUUACAAAAUCCAAAUCGAUUUUGCAAUUUACAAGUUUUACAUACUAA